rnacentral:rRNA from 1 species
AUUGAACGCUGGCGGCAGGCCUAACACAUGCAAGUCGAACGAGUGGCGGACGGGUGAGUAAUGUCUGGUCAACUGCCCGAUGGAGGGGGAUAACUACUGGAAACGGUAGCUAAUACCGCAUUCCAUCGGAUGUGCCUAUAUGGGAUUAGCUAGUAGGUGGGGUAUCGGCUCACCAAGGCGACGAUCCCUAGCUGGUCUGAGAGGAUGACCAGCCACACUGGAAUUGGGACACGGUCCAGACUCCUACGGGAGGCAGCAGUGGGGAAUAUUGCGAAAUGGGCGAAAGCCUGAUGCAGCCAGGCCGCGUGUGUGAAGAAGGCCUUCGUGUUGUAAAGUACUUUCAGCGAGGAGGCGUUACUCGCAGAAGAAGCACCGGCUAACUCCGUGCCAGCCGCCGCGGUAAUUC